rnacentral:rRNA from 1 species
AGCGGAGGAAAAGAAACUAACAAGGAUUCCCCUAGUAACGGCGAGCGAAGCGGGAAGAGCUCAAAUUUGAAAGCUGGCACCUCCGGUGUCCGCGUUGUAAUCUCGAGACGUGUUUUCCGUGCGGCUCUAUGGACAAGUCCCUUGGAAUAGGGCAUCGUAGAGGGUGAGAAUCCCGUACUUGCCAUGGAAGAACCGUGCUUUGCGAUACACGCUCUAAGAGUCGAGUUGUUUGGGAUUGCAGCUCAAAAUGGGUGGUAGACUCCAUCUAAAGCUAAAUAUCGGGGAGAGACCGAUAGCGAACAAGUACCGUGAGGGAAAGAUGAAAAGCACUUUGGAAAGAGAGUUAAAAGUACGUGAAAUUGUCGAAAGGGAAGCACUUGAAGUCAGCCAUGCUGCUUGAGACUCAGCCUGGCCUUUGGGCUUGGUGUAUUUCUCGGUGGCAAGCCAGCAUUGGUUUGGGUCGUCGGAGAAGCGCAUAGGGAAUGUAGCGUUUCCGGACGUGUUAUAGCCUUAUGCAGGAUACGACGACCUGGAUCAAGGAACGCAGUGUGCCCUCUGGGCGGGUCUUCGGACACCUUCACACUUAGGAUGCUGGCGUAAUGGCUUUAAGUGGCCCGUCUUGAAACACGGACCAAGGAGUCUAACAUGUGUGCGAGUUUUUGGGUGGCAAACCCAUGAGCGUAAUGAAAGUGAAUACAGGUGGGAUCCGCAAGGAGCACCAUCGACCGGCCCUGAACUUCUGGGAUGGGUCUGAGUAAGAGCAUAUAUGUUGGGACCCGAAAGAUGGUGAACUAUGCCUGAAUAGGGCGAAGCCAGAGGAAACUCUGGUGGAGGCUCGCAGCGGUUCUGACGUGCAAAUCGAUCGUCAAAUUUGGGUAUAGGGGCGAAAGACUAAUCGAACCUUCUAGUA